UUUAGAAUUUAUUUUCUAUAGCGUUAAAUUGAGCCACGUCAUAAAGAAUCAUAAAUAGAGUAAAAUAGUAAAUUAACAACUCAUACUCAAAUAGCAAAUAGUAACCUAAUUAAAGAAAAUAGUUAUUUUUGCAUGUGAUGAUUUGGAGUUUUUUAUACAAGUAGUUUUAUUGUCAAUACUGCAUAUGUACUGGACAUGUCGAGGUUUGAAAUUGCGUUACUCUCCUACCCAAAGUUACAGCAAAAAAAAAAACACACACACAAAGCGAUAGUUGACUAAAGUACAACUAAAUGAAGCAAAAAAGAAAAGAAUGUAAAUGAACGAUGUCCGAUUUGUUUUAAUAGAUUCCGUACAAGUUCGUCGGUGAAAAUUAUUCAACAUACGGCCCUGUGCCAAGAGGGUGUCAGUGUCAUUGCGAAUCUGGUGGCAAUAAAGGAAAGACUACCUUGGACUUUACUUGAGAAAGUUUUCCACACAACAUCUAUACAACUGCAUAAACAAUAUUCAUUCACGUAUUUUCACAUCACACAUUGCAAAGUGGUUUAGACAUUUCAGAAAACAUUUUUAAUGCGACGUUUGUAUUAUUUUAAUACUUCGUAGUCUUGAUCGAAAACAAACUCUUAAUAUAGUUCAUUCAUUGUAGCGUUUUUGUGUAAGAAGCAACUUUUUGACAAAUUAAAACAGUCGUUCUUUUAUUUAAUCUAAAGCUAGUCAAAUUUCAAAACAAUAUAAAGGCACGAUUGAUCAAUCAGUAAAUUCUUUAGCAAAUACAAAUUUCUGCAUACUGUUAAUUAUUACUAUACUGAGUUUUUCAUUCCUAUGGGCGUUUCUUGUUGCUAUUUUGGUGUAAUAAGCCAAAUUAGUGCAAUAAAAACCAAGUUAAUAUGGUUUACAAAACACUUACAGCAUAAGCGUCACAAGAAAACAUGAAAAUUUGAAAUGAAUACCCCUUUUGGUUGAUUUAACCAACAGUUGAAUUGCUGGGUGGUGUGUAAUGUUAGCAGAGCUCACUGGGGUCUAAGGAUAAUCUGGUGUGACCGUAAGUGCUAAAGCCCGAUUAGGCUCCGGAGGACCUCACAUCGCCCCCGCUACACUUUGUCUUAAUUCCUGGACAUGGAGCACGUCUUUUAAGAACGCACACGACGAUCGAGUAACUCGAGCUUUAGAAAGCCCGUAUAUUAAACCCGCGUGUUCGGAAUAGUGUAAAAGAACUGAUUUUAAAACCAUUCGUGUCCUUGUAAUCUAGAUCCAUCGUCGUCCCGGUGAUGGAGUGACAUUUGCUUGGAAAACAGCGACCCAAAAACAAAACGGUGGCCUCGAGACCACACGCUCCGCCUCUUCGUCAACUCCUGACAAAUUCCGGGCCUUGUGUUGGAAGGUUUUCAACAGUAAUUGCAGCCUGGGUGCGACGGAAACAAGGACAGGACAGGAACAGACCUAAUGUUCUUUCAUUUUUUUUGUUGUUGUUUUUGUUUCUUGUAGAAUCUUGGGUUUCUUCACCAUUUAACCCAGCAGGCAGGGAGGAGGUCUAGGCGUACACGUAGAGAGACACGCAUAUUUUGAAAACAGACAAAAAACACUAAGAAUUUGAAACACGUGUAUACUUUUUUCUCAUAAUGCAGUUCCUCUUGCGCCAGGACGUCUACUGCUUGCCUAACCCCCCUCAUGUGGCCACCGCAGCCUUGGCUGUGCGGUCGACUUCAAGUUCGGGGGAGGGGGACGAGUAUCCCGCCGCGACUGGAGAAGAGACUGCAGAGUCCAAACAAUCCAUGGUCUUCUGGGAUGGACUUCCAGCCAUUACGAAUAUUAUUCUAUAACAGGGUUUAGUGGAGAUCUUUAUGGAGAAAACACGAAAUUGAGCACGGUGUUUAAAAGCGUCAAAUUAGUAAUGCAAAUUUUAAACACGUAAACCAAGGCCAAGGCUAAAUACUAAAAUGAUGAAUGCUUCAUGUAUGCUGGUUAUUUCGUAAUGCGCUAAACACAGGACUGGAUUCUCUCUGAAUUCACUUAAUGUAAAAUAUUAGAGACAUCGAUUAGCAAUAUUUUAUUGUAAUUUUAAAAAGUAUUACCGCUGUUUACAUUUAAUUUUACCUUACAUACUACAUAACCAUUAACAGCCGUUAAAAGCCGUUGAUAACUAUAUUUGUCCAAAAUUUGCAAUAAGUGCCAAAAAUUGACUGAGUAAAGCUCAGAAUACACAAAACGAACUGUACAGAGGGUCUGUUUAGUUUAGAGCAGACAAAGGUACGCCUGCAACACAAAGAAAUGAAAAGUAGCGAGUAAGGAAGAUUUGCUAAUCAUGAAAAAUAAUAUUGCUUCCAAAUUUGUCUUUUAAAACAUUAGCACAAAAAGCAUGUACGUUAUUUUUUACGUUAUACAGUCAGAUGUGUAAAAGGUAUUCUUAAAAAACAACAAUAAUAGAGGACAAAAUAAUGUAUAAAAGGAGGUAAUAAAUAAACUAUACAAUUAAUUUAUAUAAUUUUAAUUUAUAUAACCUCAAGUAAUAAGUUGCAAGUUUUCUGUUAAAUAUAAGGUCUUUAUUUUUGUUUUAUUGCUGAACUUGAAACUUAUGGCAAACGGAGUUUUGGGAAUAGUAAUUAACUUUUUCAGUGACGAAAGUGGAUUGCAGCUAAAAGUACCACAUCCUAAUUGUUCAAAUAAAAACGCGAAAACACUCUUGUAAACCCUAAAACUGAAGAAACGUUAUAGCUUUAGAAACAAUUGCUAACAAAAUAAUGAAACUACAAUGGGUGUAGUUACCAAACCCAGACAAUCUGAAAAUAGUAUUCUCCAUGUUCUUAAAAAUAAAAAUAUCAUUCAUUAAAUCCCAUUAUAUUAGCGCAUACAAACAAAAACAACAAAUUAACAAAGUAACCCUUACAAUACUUAGCCUAUAGGAGCCGGUCAAGCCAAUGUUUUUUAAACAGUGUGUUAAAAUUGAUUUUAACCCAUUAAUGGUUUACGUGGAUAUUUUAAAUGUUCAUACUGAAAUCUGCAAAAAAAUCACGUGUGAUUCAUAUGAGUAUAUGCAUUAAUAAGUCUUCAUAGUUUAUUAAUACAUUUGUGGUCGACUGCUACACAACAUCACAGUAAAUAUUUGUACAUGCAUAUAGCAUAGUUUUUUCAAAUUUGUGUCGCCAUUCUAUACUUUUAGUAUUUUUUUGCAAUAUAUGGUCUUUCGUAAAACAAUUAUAAUCAAAUAUUUAAACGAUAAAAAGUGGAUUGUUUAAUAAAGCAAAGACGACACUUUGUCGGUUUGUGUGGUAUUGUAGCUCUGCACAAUACAGACAGUGUGGACAUCCGUAUUUUGGUUUUACAUUAAAUGCAUUUCAAGCAGUUAAAACCACUUCCAAGUAUUCUAAACAAGUAUUCACUAUGCCGUCGCCAAUGCAACUCGUUCUGAGAAGGGGGCUGAAACUGGGUUAUGCAGAAAUAGUAGCCCCCGAAGCAAAAUUGAGUAAAACCAAUAAAAUCAUUACAGCCUAAUGUA